AUUGAACGCUGGCGGCGUGCUUAACACAUGCAAGUCGUGCGGUAACAGGCGUAGCAAUACGUGCUGACGAGCGGCGAACGGGUGCGUAAUACAUGGGAAUCUGCCUUUUAGUGGGAAUAACCCGGCGAAAGCCGGGCUAAUGCCGCAUAAGAUCUUCGGAUGAAAGCGGGGAGUCGUAAGACCUCGCGCUGAUAGAUGAGCCCAUGCCGGAUUAGCUAGNGGUGAGGUAACGGCUCACCAAGGCGACGAUCCGUAGCUGGUCUGAGAGGACGGCCAGCCACACUGGGACUGAGACACGG
rnacentral:rRNA from 1 species